UCAUGCCUACGGGACGCAGCAGUGAGGAAUAUUGGUCAAUGGACGAGAGUCUGAACCAGCCAAGUAGCGUGAAGGAUGACUGCCCUAUGGGUUGUAAACUUCUUUUAUAUGGGAAUAAAAUGUUCCACGUGUGGGAUUUUGUAUGUACCAUAUGAAUAAGGAUCGGCUAACUCCGUGCCAGCAGCCGCGGUAAUACGGAGGAUCCGAGCGUUAUCCGGAUUUAUUGGGUUUAAAGGGAGCGUAGGUGGUU
rnacentral:rRNA from 1 species